rnacentral:rRNA from 1 species
UAGGGAAUCUUCGGCAAUGGACGAAAGUCUGACCGAGCAACGCCGCGUGAGUGAAGAAGGUUUUCGGAUCGUAAAACUCUGUUGGUAGAGAAGAACGUUGGUGAGAGUGGAAAGCUCAUCAAGUGACGGUAACUACCCAGAAAGGGACGGCUAACUAUGUG